rnacentral:rRNA from 1 species
UACGUAUGGUGCAAGCGUUAUCCGGAUUUACUGGGUGUAAAGGGAACGCAGGCGGCACGGCAAGCCUGAUGUGAAAGCCCGCGGCCCAACCGCGGGACUGCAUUGGGAACUACCGGGCUGGAGUGCCGGAGAGGUAGGCGGAAUUCCUAGUGUAGCGGUGAAAUGCGUAGAUAUUAGGAGGAACACCAGUGGCGAAGGCGGCCUACUGGACGGUGACUGACGCUGAGGCUCGAAAGCGUGGGGAGCAAACAGG